rnacentral:piRNA from 1 species
UCUGACUUCAGGAAGCACCUCAGAGAUCACC